rnacentral:rRNA from 1 species
AUACGGAGGGGGCUAGCGUUGUUCGGAAUUACUGGGCGUAAAGGGCGCGUAGGCGGAUUGUCAAGUCAGAGGUGAAAGCCCUGGGCUCAACCCGGGAACUGCCUUUGAAACUAACAGUCUUGAGUCCGAGAGAGGAUGGCGGAAUUCCCAGUGUAGAGGUGAAAUUCGUAGAUAUUGGGAAGAACACCGGUGGCGAAGGCGGCUACCUGGACCGGUACUGACGCUAAGGUGCGAAAGCGUGGGGAGCAAACGGGAUUAGAAACCCCAGUAGUCC